GGCUUGGCGGUGUAUCGGUAACACGCCUGCUUAAUGUGCAAUAGGAGGAAUGCGCAGGAGUACCUUGUUCGACUCGAGGUCAGGCCA